rnacentral:tmRNA from 1 species
GGGGAUGACAGGCUUCGACAGAAGAGGCUGAUCCCGGAUUGCAAGCCGAGAGGUACCGACCUCGUAAAAUCAGUACAAAAAACAAGUGCCAAUCGCACACAAAAUUACGCUGCAAUGCCACUCGCUGCUUAGUGAGUGUACAGCAGCCAAAUGAUACCGGAAGGUAUCACGUCUAUCUCCCCGAACCUCAACCGGUGGAAAAAUAGGCGUCAUAAAGUUGAGGUGCCAUUUUCUUUUCUGCGCAGAAAAUGAAAGAGGACUCUCGGGUUCAAGCAGAUAACAAUCCGGUAGUUUUGUCUGUAGUCUACUGGUAUUGUGAAAAGAUCAACGGACUAAGCUUGUAGAUAUCUGGAGGUCUAAUCUUUUGGACGCGGGUUCAAGUCCCGCCAUCUCCACCU